GUCCCUUCCUCACCUCUCUGUUUUCUCAGUCGCCCUCCCCUAUUCUCCGCUCUCAACUGGACAGGUCGCCGCUGGCCCCUCGUAAGAACAGCUCACCCCCGCCGCUAGCAAGAGAAGCCCGCUGCCGGCCGUCCACCCCUGCCACCGUCCUCUCCGAGGUGGCGCACCGCUCCCGACGCCGCCCCACACCCCAUGUCUCAGGUAUCUAGUUUGUCUGCAGGGAUGUAUAGGAGGGCACCUGCUAGGGUUCGUCCACCUCCUCUGCAUGUGCUGUUUGGCGUAGCACCGCAGCCGCUGGAGGUUGUCCCGCCGCCUGUGAUGGACGAUAUCACCGGAUUGCCGCUCAUGUUGUGUCCAAGCUGCAGGGAUUUGAGGCUCGUUCCAUUCACCUGUAAGUGGAUUGAAAAUCGUGGAAAGAGAUUUUUCAAGUGCUUGUGAUAUGGGGGAAAAAGAUGUGGCAUUUACAUGUUUCAAGACAAGUAUGAAUGGCACCUUAGGACCAAUGGAGAAUGUCGGGGCUGAGCGUGGGAUGGAUGCUGGCCUUGAGGCGAUGGAUGGUGGCCCUGAUUUGGUGAUGGAAGAAAUUGAACAAGUGAAGGUCGGAUUGCACGACAUGCAGGAUGAGUUGGCCAAGAUAAAGCUGGAAUUGGUUGAGUUGAAGAAUGAAGGAAUCAGAAAUAUGCUCGUGUUGUGUUGUUUUUAUUGGCAGCCAUCAUUUUCAUUGUAAUGAAGUAGAUGAACUUGUCUAUGAAUCCAUGAUGUUGUCUGUGUAUCCAUGAAAUGAGUUGGUCUA